GGCGUGAUAGCCAAGUGGUAAGGCACGGGUCUGCAAAACCUGUAUUCGUGGGUUCGAUUCCCACUCACGCCUCCA
rnacentral:tRNA from 1 species